CGAGAUGAUUGUUGACCUGCAAGCGGUGGACGCAACCCUCGAACUCGGCGACACGCGCAUCACCAGAGCCGCGCAUCCCUCAGUUACCAAUCCCAGCGCCGUGAUGAAGAUCACGGAGACGCUGCGGCGGCCCCGUCUCUCGCUGGGGAUCUUCGUGAUUGCCCUGCUCGUCGCAGGCGCAGCUUUUUGGUUGGUUCCGCGAUGGUUGCGCGCCGGGCCCCACAAACCUUCCGCCAGGGCCGAGGUUUUGUUUCAGACGGGAACAGAAGCGCUAAGAGCCGGC
rnacentral:misc_RNA from 1 species